rnacentral:rRNA from 1 species
CCUACGGGGGCAGCAGUGGGGAAUAUUGGACAAUGGGCGAAAGCCUGAUCCAGCCAUGCCGCGUGUGUGAAGAAGGCCUUCGGGUUGUAAAGCACUUUCAGUGGGGAAGAAAGCCUUGGGGCUAAUACCCUCGAGGAAGGACAUCACCCACAGAAGAAGCACCGGCUAACUCCGUGCCAGCAGCCGCGGUAAUACGGAGGGUGCGAGCGUUAAUCGGAAUUACUGGGCGUAAAGCGCGCGUAGGCGGUCUGAUAAGCCGGUUGUGAAAGCCCCGGGCUCAAACUGGGAACGGCAUCCGGAACUGUCAGGCUAGAGUGCAGGAGAGGAAGGUAGAAUUCCCGGUGUAGCGGUGAAAUGCGUAGAGAUCGGGAGGAAUACCAGUGGCGAAGGCGGCCUUCUGGACUGACACUGACGCUGAGGUGCGAAAGCGUGGGUAGCAAACAGGAUUAGAUACCCUGGUAGUC